rnacentral:lncRNA from 1 species
GAAGGAGUUGCAUGGUGCUGGCCUCGCUCAGGAUGUCUUUAAGUUGGAGUUUCAACUCUCCUGGAAAGAGGAAAAUGGCCAUAAGAAUUUUUUCCUUGACAAUACUGGGAAUUGAUUAAAGAAGAAGAGGAAAACUGGAGAUAAAAUGGAGCAAGAGGGAAGAAAAAAAGAUCAGAGAGAAGAUGAGGGAAAAGGAAGAAGUAAGAAAGGAAAUGGAAAGGGCAUAUGGUGAGGAAAAUAGGAAAGAAAGGGAGGAGAAAAAAGUGAAGAAGACAAGAGACAUGAGGAAUACAAGAAGAAGAAAACAGAAGAGAAGUAGAGAAAAGGAGCUGAGAAUCUGGAGAGAAGUACAAAUGAAAAGAUAAAGAAAAAGAAAAAGAAAAGUGGCUAAAUGGAAGAAAGGAAAUGUAAAUGUAGUCCUUUGUAACUGAAUGACCACCAGAUGCCUAGAGAAAAAUCUCAAGUAUCAUUAGUAUUCCA